ensembl:lncRNA
CUUUUCUAGCCGUCCGCCAUGGCGGGUGGGUGAAAGACCCGAGCUAACAUGGGGUUAGUUCGUUAAAUUACAAUAAAGCCUCGUGCAGUUUGCAGCAAGCUCUCGAAUCCGCCUGGUGAUUGGGGUGACCGCGAACCUGGCCUGAGACCCCGGAUACUUGAGUUUUCGGGGGUCUAACAAACUCAGGUCUGGCCAGUGGGACUCAGACUCCUUCUGCUGCCUGUGGAUCAAAAUGUAGAACUCUCAGCUCCUUCUCCAGCAUCAUGUCUGCCUGCAUGCCACCAUGUUUCCUGCCAUGAAGAUAAUUGACUAAACCUCUAAAACUGCCCUUGUAAACCCACACAUAAGCCACAUCCGAGACACUGGACACUGGAUCUGAUUCCUCGCCGACCUCUCCUGUGUGUUCAAACAGAAGGCUCUUUAGCCAGACUUACCUCCAGAGGUCCUGAGGAUGAGACCCAGGACCUCAAGAAUGCUACACAAGAGCUCUCUGUCACUUCAUAACACCCCAGCCACAAAGAAGUGAUGCCUGCUGUCCUCAGUGCUUAUUUAGCAAGUAUUUUUGCUGGCUGGGCCAUCUCACCAUCUCUUAUUCUCAGUGAGACCAGACACCAGCUAGCCAGCAAACCCCAGAGAUCAGCCUUUCUCUGCUUCCUUAGUGCUGGUGUAACAAGCAAGAGCCACUAUCUCUGGCUUUUUACACGGCUGCUGAAGAAUAAAGUCACUAUUGGUGAGCCAUUUCCCUGGCUCCUUUAUUUGCCUCUCCGUGUCAUUAAAAAUUCAUGGAUUUUCUUGCUGGUUCCUGGCUGCUGGAAGGUAAGCCAUUCUGUUCCAUCACACUCUCCCUGCCAUAACAGACUGGAACCUCUGAAACAAAAAUAGAUUUACUCUGUCCUACUAGAAGACGAGCCAACCACAGCACAAGGGAGAGAAGGGACUAUCCUGAAUCAGGGGAGCAUCAGGGAGUAGAAAAGAAAAGGGGGCUGGAGGGAUAGCUGCUUGAUUAAGAGCACUGUCAGCUUUCCCUGAAGACUUGAGUUCAGUUCUCAGCACUUAAAUGUAGCAGCUCACAACUCCCUGUAACUCCAGUUCCAGGGACUCUGAUGCCUUCUUCUGGUCCCCCAUAGGCACUGCACGUAAGCCAUAUACAGAAAAACAUGCAGGCAAACAUCCAUACACAUAGAUUUUGUUGUUGUUUUGUUUUGUUUUGUUUUUCAACAGGGUUUCUCUGUAUACUUCUGGCUGUCCUGGAACCCUAUCUGGCUGGCCUGAAACUCAGAGAUCUGCCUGCCUCUGCCUCCCCAGUACUGAAUUUAAAGGCAUGUACCACUAACUGCCUGGAAUAACAUGAGUUUUGAGAGGAGAGAGAGCGAGAGAGGAGAGGAGAAGAGAGGAGAGGAGAGGAGAGGAGAGGAAGAAGAGGAGAGAGAGAGAGAGAGAGAGAGAGAGAGAGAGAGAGAGAGAGAGAGAGAGAACAAACUGCCUUAGCUGCCAGCAAUGGAUUGUGCCAGUCCUUUGUGAUAGCACAGCCACAACAGACUUGUCUCUUUACAAAACAGUGGCCUCCAUUGUUCACAUGUGCUAAGAAUCUGGAUGAAUGACAACAUGCAAGGGAGGCACAGGGGGAAAGCCCCAGUGAGUCAGACAAUGCAGGAAGGGACCCGCUCUCCUGACUGUUGAAACACAAGGUGUUUCGUGGAUAAGAUGUAAGCGCUAAGUGGUAGUACUCUGAUGGUGGCUGGGAAGAGCACUCCACGUGCAGCUGAGAAGACUGCAACCCCUCCAUGAACCUGAGAUGAUAAGGAAGGAGACCUCCAGGACAAAUGGGCAGUGGGAGGAGAAAAUAAAAUCACCGUACAGAAGUGAAGCUGGAGCUGGUGGCUGCAAGAAUGGUCCAGGGUGCUAACUUGAGGCAAGUGCAGAAGCCUGAGCUGCAGAUUUCUGCUUAUGUCAUUACUUCAUGUCAGAAAACCCUGAUUUGGAACAGUUCAGUCAGAUUCUAGAAUAGAGUAAAGGGUCACCACUUUGCUACACUCUGAGACACGACAUCUGAGGGCCAGGCCACUGCUGGCCUCAUACUGGGAGCAAACGUGCCAAGUACUUCCACACUAAUGCACUAAAGCGUAUAUCACUCAGUAGAUGGAAACCAGGACCCAGGUCCUAGCAGCUGGACUAGCCAACAGCGUGUAAGUAUCACAGUACGACCCCAAGAAACCAGGGGCUUCAGUACUCUCACUGCCUGGAGUACUCCAAUGAUUAGGAUGGCCAGAAGUCCCCGGAAGGAUUCUGAGGCACCAAAGUACCUCCAGCAAGCCACUCCACUGUGCCGAGGGGCCCCUGUCCAGCACAGCUAUCCAGGGGACAAAUGGGCACUCUCAGAUCUUGUCCUGACUCAGCAUGUUAAAAAUAUACUGGGGUCAAGGGUUCUCACAAGAAUGUGACAGGAGAGAAAGGACAACAACUAAAGCUACAUCAAGACUAAAAUGGGAAAGAAGUCCAUUUGUAGAGGAAGACCCAAAGCCUUUCCUUACUCUGGCAUCAUGAACAGAGCAUGAGAAAAACAAAGCCACUUAAAGCCACUGAAAGACAAACAGGAAGAGUGGGCUGUAAAAGACCAUACACCCGCACACCAGACACUUUUUAGGUUCUUUGCUCAGCUUAUUGGGCCAUUUCUAUUCUUGGGGGUGGCUUUUCUUUCUUUCUUUUUAUUAUUUUUUAAAUUUUAUUAUUUAUGUAUUUUUUUAGGCAUGAGUGCUCUGCAUAUAUGCUUGAUGGCAGAAGAGGGGAUUAUAUCCCAUUAUAGAUGGUUGUAAGCCACCAUGCGGUUGCUGGGAAUUGAACUCAGGAUCUUUGGAAGAGUAGCCCAUGCUCUUACCUGCUGAGCCAUCUCUCCAGCCCAGUUUUUUUCUUUAAAAAAAAAAAAUUAUGUGUAUGGGUAUUUUUCCUGGAAGAAUGUCUAGUCACUAUGUUCAUGCAACACCCACAGAGACCAGAAGAGGGUGCCAGAUCCCCUGAAACUGGAGUUGGAGAAGGUUGCAAGUCACUAUGAAACCUGGGUUCUCUGGUGCAGUGUUGACAGCUGAGCCAUCUCUUCAGCCCCGUUUUCCCCUUUCUUUCUUUCCCUUUUUUAAAUUUUAUUUUAUUUUUGAGACAGAGUUUCUCUGUGUAGCACAGCUGUCCUAGAAUUAGCUUUGUAGACCAGGCUCACCUACCAUUGCCAGGCCAGUUUUCCCCUUUCUUGAUAAACUAAUUCUGUUCCCUGUCUAGUUUAAAAGACAUGACUUUUUCCUCCAUUUCCUAGCAGCUUCUGAGGUUUUCAACUAACCUGUACUGCUCUCCUCUUAAACUCUAAUACUAUUGUCCUUAUGUUUGAGUCCAUUUCUAAAUUCUUUUAUUGAGACUAAGGAACCCCCAAAAGAACUGUAGUUUUCCCCAGGAACAAAAGCAGUGGUGUAUACUGAUAGUUCCCUCAGGUCCUCCACAGGUGGAGCUAGAGUCUGAUAAUGGAAGAACUCUGGGGAGAGCGUGCAAUCUCAUCUGUCAUAUGGCGUUUGGGCUCUCAAGCUGUCAAUUGGAAGCCGAAAGCCAUCCGGUGCAGGAUACUUCAAGACGAUGUGCUAGCCCCGUUGUUUCCAGAAUGAGGUUUGUCUGCUGUGCCCACUCUGUGUGACAUCGCAUCUGCACAGCUUUGUAGCAGCUGCAUGGCUGAGCCACUUACCUGCGUCGAGGACUGCUGCACUGGAGUAAUAUUUGUUACAUAUUCAAAGUUAAGACAUCGAAUUUUCUCUUCAUUUACUUUUUAUAUAUAAUAAGUGUGCUUGCUACUGUAGGAAAAUCCCUCAUUGGUCACCAGCUCAGUAUCUAAUUAUACUCUUAAAAUAAAAAAAAAUUACCAUGUAUUUAUUAAGUGUGUCCUGUACACAAGUGAAGGUCAGGGGACAAUUGUGAGUCCCUGGAGAUUGGAGUAGGGUGGACAGGCUGGGUAGCAAGCAUCCUUCCCCACCUAGCCAUCUCAUUGCCUCCAAUUAGUUAUACUCUUAUUAUCUUUAUUUUGAUAAUGAAAUUUCACGGAUUUGGUUGGUAGAGUCUUCAAAGCUCCAGUGUCAUUUUACACAUUCCCAUCCAUCAGCACCGUCUUUUUUUUUUUUUUUUUUUUAAGUGAGAAGAUUUAUUAGAAAGAGGGGUUGGGGAGAAGAGCCAGAAAGAGCCAUCAGCACCGUCUUUAUAUUCUAGUACAAGGCGUUCCAAGGCGGUGUCUCUAGAACUGGCUUUUUCAUCACAGCGGCUCUUCCCCCUCCCACACUUUUACUGUUGUUUAGCAACAUAGUCAGUCUCAUGCUCGAAAACGACACUGAAAUUCUGACCCACUACUCGAGUGAAUGCGGAGAUUGCUGGCGCGUACGCACACGUUUUGUGCGAUGUUAGGAAUCGAACCCACGACCUCAAGAAGGAGACGCAAACACUCCAUCCACUGAACUCCCUUCUCCUCCCCACGCUCUA